AACGAACGCUGGCGGCAUGCCUAACACAUGCAAGUCGAACGAGACCUUCGGGUCUAGUGGCGCACGGGUGCGUAACGCGUGGGAACCUGCCCUUAGGUUCGGAAUAACUCCCCGAAAGGGGUGCUAAUACCGGAUAAUGUCUUCGGACCAAAGAUUUAUCGCCUUUGGAUGGGCCCGCGUUGGAUUAGCUAGUUGGUAGGGUAAAAGCCUACCAAGGCGACGAUCCAUAGCUGGUCUGAGAGGAUGAUCAGCCACACUGGGACUGAGACACGGCCCAGACACUCACGGGGGGGACAGGUGGGGGAAAUUGGAGAAAGGGGGAAAAACUGAUACAGAAAAGUCCGGGGAGUGUGAUGAGGGCUAUGGGUUUAAAACUCUUUUUUCCCGGGUAUUAAAGGAACGGCCGGGAGAAAAAAAGCCGGGGCAAUCCCC
rnacentral:rRNA from 1 species